rnacentral:lncRNA from 1 species
UGAGGGUCACCUAUACAGGAGUUGCCUUUUUGCUUUUUUUAUUUUUUUGUUUUUCUGGAUCAUUCACUUAUUUGCAUCGGUCCCCUACGUAGAGGAUGCGUAGGCCGGAGCUGACUGCUGAGAUAAACUACUAAGGACUUAUACGGAAAUGAUGAUUAAGGCCAUGGUAUGGGGGGUUUCGGGAAUGAUUCCUAUAUUUACGAAGCUUAUGGUGCUAAAACAGAUACUGAUG